UUCCUGCAAUUCAGAACCCAGACUAGAAAUCAGUUAGUCAUCCUUAACACCUCCUUCUCAUGCACUCUCUCACAUGUAGUCUAUUAGCAGUGGUGUUGACUUCACUUCCUAAAUAUUCAGGACUCCAUCAUUUCUCCCUGCCACCAUUCUACUCCUCGUGCGAGCUGACAUCUCACUUCUCUGCAUCUCUUCAGUACAAGUGAAAAGUGCUACUUCCCAGCUAUAAAAAGAAUGGUGACUGUCCAGUAGAAAGGUCAGCAGGCAAUGAGGCAUCAUGGUACCAUUCAAGAAGCACCAGCCUAGGAGACAGAGGACAAGGGACAAGGAAUUUUGCCUUUAUUGCUGCAAGAUAUUGGAAAUUUAUUCAAGGUUUUGGCUUUUUAUGAAUCUGAAUUUGUGGCACCAGAUCUAACUAGAGGAUUUAAUAAAGAGCAAGAGAGACAGCACAAGCAGGGAAGAGGGACAGAGGAAGAG